rnacentral:tRNA from 1 species
AUUUGAAUAGUUUAAUUAAAACGUUGACUUGUGGUGUCAGAGAUGUAAUUUAUUUAUUUUAAAUA